rnacentral:lncRNA from 1 species
AACUGAAAGAGGUUUAAUUGAUGAUUAAACAAAUGCCAUAUGCAUAAAUUUUUAUUCACACAAAGUUUGUGACUGGUGUUCUUUCAUAGUUAAAAAAAAAGUUCCAAGAGGAUGAAGGAUCUCCUCUUACAAACGAGUGUAAUUACCCAAAAAGGACUUAAAAAGUUUAUGAUAGUGAUUUUAUGAGACUAUGAAGCUAAGAAAGCCAAAAAAAGGGCUCACACUAAUAGAGAAUACCAGACAGAAAGUUGGAGAUCAGGAUUAAUGGAUCAAGGUUGACCAAAACAGAGGUUGAAAAUCUAAACUGCUUUGGGAACGAAGAUGGUCAAUUUUAUAUUGUUUGUAAUUUAUCAGCCCCUUAGCUCAGCCUACAAUGUUUGUAUUUUGGUGUCUAACUAAAGGAUUAUAAGCCAAACUGCACAUUUCUACUUUAAAAAAAAAAUGCAAUUGAAGGAAGCAAGUCAGGAAGCACAUGCAAGAUUGUUGAAACAUACACAUCAAGGAAAAAGCCACCAUCUGCAAGACAUUUAACAGUAACCUUCUUUGGUAGAAGUGCACGAAAAUCGUCACAGUGAAUGUAAGUAGCUAGGCCACCAGCUGAGCAUCCUGUAAGAAAGGCCUGCAAACUAAAAAAGAGUUUCCUGUCCUAAGCAAUCAUCUUCAUCUUAGAUCAAUUUUCCUAUAGUCAUGAGUUUAAUUGUCAUAUUUUGAGGCGAAUAUCGAUAUGGUCACCAUCUACCUCUUGAAAGUUCAUAAUUUUAUUUCUAGUGGUUCUUUAUUCUCCUAGACAGCAUGGUUCUGCUUGCGUUUUGCCCCUUAUCAAUGUGUAUGAUGUUCUAAGACAUUUUAUGCUCAUAUUAUGUCAAACGACUAACACCAGAGAAGAUUAUUCUUCCAAUUUUGAAUACCAGAAUAAAGUUUUUUCUUUCCCACUCUCUCUGCCACUUGACGAAUAUAGGUAUCCCAAAAUUGAAAAUUUGCCUAUCGGAUUGGUGCGGAAACUGCUUACUGCCUUUAACGAGCAUGCUAGUGACAAGUUACUUAAGUGCAACCAUCUAAACGUCAGCCAAUUAAUAUUUGCUUAUUUACAAAUCAUUAAAUAUAGGUAAGAGAUGAUCUAGCAACAAUUUUGAACAGCCAAAUGUUUUAUAACUAUAGCUAUAACUUUCUCAGUGGAUCUCAAAUGCAACAUUGAAGUAGCAGAAAUGAUUUGAUAUCAAAGGAAUGACCUGUUUAGCUUCUGCAAGUCCUUCACCUAAAAGCUCAUCCAUAAUAGCUUCCCAAAUACGCUGGCCUCUGAAGAACAAAGUUGUCCCAUUCUAUACAGCAUAAAUACAGAUGCAUCUCAGAACAACUAUCUGCAAGUCUAACCACAAUACUAGAGGCCAAAGAAAGCAUCGGCAUACCUGCAGUUCAUUUUCAACAUCACCAGAGAAAGAUGCGCCAUCACAAUACCGUAUCUUUACUUUGUUCCAGUUAUAGAAAUCUGCAAUAAGCAACAUAAAUGUCCAUUGAUAAAAAUUUCUCACAAUUGGAGGAUAUCUAGAAAUCGAAAAUGCGCGCAACUUGAAAACAGGUAGAAGUAGAAAAUGGAGAUCAACACUAAAAAGUACACUGUUCAGUUAAUUGUCAGGGAAAUAAGCGUAACGACAAAUGAUAUCCUACAAAAGUUAGAAUAAUCCAAUGAAAGUAUGCUAACAUCCUGAAGAUCCUUAUUUAUCAUAUCUCAAAGUCGAAUAACAGAUGUUUCGAAAGUAUGUGGUGAUAAUUUUCCUAGAAUCAGCAUUAGAGCAAUUUGACCCCAAAAAAAGUAGAAGAUCAUAGAAGAAGUAAGCAAUGGAAAAAGUGUACGAACCAAAGAGCCCAAAACUUUCAUGAUUACAAAAUAACCUACCAAGGAAGUCUUGCUAUAGUUUUGUCGCAGAAUACAGAACAAUAUCUAUAUGUGGAACUAACAGCUGAUUUUUGGCCGAUACAGCUACUGCAAAAUUUGGUAGCAUUUCCUUACCUUCAGAGUUGUGCUAAAGGACAACAACCCCAAAACUGAUUGAUACCAUCAUAUUAAAAUAUUCAUACCAAUGCUUCUUGCUGAAGCAGAUUUUACCAAGGAUUAAACUGUAAAACAAGUACGUAACAGUAGAGUGUUGCUCGUCCAGGAAUAUUACAAAUAAGAAGCCAGAAUCAGACUCUAGUUGUGGGAGCAGAGAACAUUUAGUUGGUAGCAGACAACACUAAAGAGGUGCAGCUUUCUCGGCGAAACAACAAUCAGAUAUAUAAAUGGUCAAAAUGAUCACCAUACAAAAGAUGGCUGCCAAGAAAGUCCUUUGGUAAUCACACAGCAUAUUAAAGCUCAACUUCCCAAAAGAUGAAUAAUAGAUGUCCCACAAAUCUCGAGCAAGUUAACAAAUAUAUAAAGAACAAAACACAGGUAGACAUGAAUAAAUUACCAGUCGAGCCUCUGCAUAAAAUAUCGUGUUAUUUACUAGAGCCUCAAGAUAUAAUCUUAACUGCAACAGGUAAAGAGAAAACAGAAAAACCAUAGAUAGCAAGUACAAUUACCAGGAUUUUGAGAUUGGAUGUUGCUUAAAAUGCCAUGAAAGGCAAUCUGCCGUUCCAUGUAGUUUGAUGAACCUAAUGCUGUCAGUUUACGCAAAGCACAUGAUUGCAAGCUACGGCACCAGCCUCCACCCUAAAGCUUAACAAGGUAAAUAGAAUGACAAAAAAAGCCGGCAAUUUUCAAUGAAAAUACUUAUAUUAAAUCUUCAAAAGCACCUAUUUAAUCUACAACAGAAAUGCUUUAGAAGAUUUCAUCUUGAGAUCAAUAUUUCAGCUGAUCAUUAUGACAGGAAAAAUAUACUAAACUUCAAAUCGAAGCAAUUUAUUCCACUAACUUACAAAUAUCUUUGCGUAAUGAAGAAUACAGAAAAAUACAGAAUGCAAAUGAAGCAUAUCUACUGAACUUUAUCUGCUUAAUUUCCUUAUAUUCACUAUACAUCAAACACAUUAACAUAAUUCAUCAUUUUCGAAUAGAUUAAGUUUCUGGGGAUGAGAGGCCAAACUGACAAGGUGAAUAGCCAACAGUAAUAAUUCUUUGAAUAAGUCCACUAGAACUAAAUUUCUUCAAUCAGGUCCAACCAUAUUUAGAGUUUCCAUCCGCCAGGUGGGGAUUACAUGAAUGUAAUAGUAAGUGAACUUGAUCUAAGAAACUUAGCACUACUGGACUUGAUCAAAAUCUUAUAAAAGUAACUUAAUCAGCAUGCAGGCUGAUGUUAAUCUUUCUAAACAGAAUUAAUGAAGCGAGCACAGAAAUCACAGGGAACUAGGUAAUUGGGAAAAUCUAAGUAAUGGAUCUACGCAUCCAGUUCCAAGUACUGAAACUGUAAUCAUCUACCUCUAAAUGGAGGAGCCAACUAUUGGAGCCCGAUCCAAAUCCCCUCUGGAGAUGGUACCCCGCCGGGCUCCCAUCUAAGCACACUGCAAAAAGCAAAACCCUAACAACUAAGGGCGAAGAUAACAACAACAAAAUUCGACAGCAACAUGAACACACGAAUCAAAUCUCACGUACACGCGCCCUUCUCUUUCGCGUUCUUUAGGAGGGUGAGAUCGACGAGAUCGGCGGAGUCCGAGGAGAAGCUCCGCGGCGCCUCAUCGUCCCGAGGCCACGAGCUGAGGGUGAGGACGAGAGCGGCGGAGAUGACCACGAAGGCUCCGGCGGCGGCGGCGGCGGCGGAGAGGCGGCGCCGCCGCCACCAGAGGCGAAGUCGGUGGGCGGCCAUGGCUGCGGAAUUUAGGGUUUGGGGGUGAAGUGAGAGAACGCAACGAUCGCGCCAGAGUCGAUCGGAGGAGUCUUAGAUCUGAGGAAGAAGCCGAUUGACUGGUGGAGGCGAGUUUCUUCCGCCGCGGCUUUUUCGCACCAAACGGGCCAGUGCGUUUUUAGUAGAAUUCGGCGCCGUGUAACUUCGGUCGCCGAGUUUCGUUUUAUUUGGUAGUCGGAUUUCAACCUGGCGUUGCUGCCGAUGCCGAUCUCUGUACAGGUUCGCCCAAGAAGUCGGCAAAAGAUAAAUGUUCAUGCGCCGUAUUCAAAUAAAACACCAAGGUUUUCUUAUUUUAUUUAUUUAUUUAGUUUAUGCUUUGGUGGGUGAUUGUUUGGUUUUAUUACUUUUUUAUUUUUUUGGAAGAUGAUUCGCAUAAAAUGAGCAAUAUUGCAUAGGCAUCCAAGUUUUAGUAAGAGAUAAUUGCUUAUAUACCCCUCAAAACUUCAUACAAACGUAAAAUUGGCCUAAUUUUUAAUUAUACAUGAAUUUAUAGUUAUCCCUGGAACAAAAAGUUCUUACUUAUAUCCGAACCAAACGAAACCUUAAGUUCUAACAAUAAGAAAAAUGCAAAGAACUUCUGGUUACAUGUGCAUUCACAGUGAUGGCAUAGAGCAUCGGUAGCACGUUCUCAAAUAAUUGAGCACCUCCAAAAUAGCUAAAGAUAUUCAUAUGACAUACAAAUAAUCUCUCAUACAUUUAACUCAAAAGCAAACACAAGAUAAAUAAUGCCAGGUCAGAGAAGGCAGUGGGUGAUAAUCCGAGCUACUUUAUCCAUUCUUCACUGAAUAAACUUCGAAGGAAUCAAUUCACCGAAUAAAUCAAAUCACUGAGCUUGAGAGACCAGCCUUAUAAAUUGUAGGGCUGACAAACACCAGAUUAUGACAUGUCGGAUUGCACGGAAAUGGACAAUCUAUUUCGUUUACUACUCUGCGAUCGAAAUACCAAUCUCCGACUGCCUCUGCAAUUGUCUGCUAAAAAAUAAAAAAUAAAAAAUAAAAGAAGAAGUAAAAGAACACAAGUAAGCUGGAGUUAGCCAUUCCAUGAAAUGCGAAUAGAAAUAAAUAAUGUUAUUAUCGUGAAAAGUAAAUAAUAAAUGAAAAAAAAUCAACACUACCUACACUAAGAAAAGAGGAGAUGAGCUAGCAACCAUCAUCAGUAGAAACUUUAUAUGAAAAAAAUUCAUGCCAACAGGUUUUUGAUUUGUACGAAGGUCCUGUUAUUUUUGUUCCAUUGAUUCAUUGUAGAGGCCUUAGCAACAAGUAAUUACUAUUGCAAUUGCAAACUAAGAAGUAAGAAUAAUAGUGGUAGGACUGAGGAAACCACAUAAGAGAAUUUGUUUGAACAUUAGAAAGGAGCUUGAUCUGCUAUUAGUCUAGGGCCCUAAACAUUAUCAAAACAGAUUGCUUAUGUAAAAUGAUUUGAAAGCCAGCUUAUAUUUCUCCAAUAUUCUUACAUGCAGAUGUACUGUGAAACCAGGAAGUAGUGCAAACUAUUUACCAAGGUGUUAAGCCUCAUCAUGGUAAAAAAGUGCAGUAGCAUGUGAUUUAUUAAUUACCAGCAUACCAGCUUAGUCUCAAAUUUCUUUUUAUUGUUGACGUAUCAGAUUAUUCUAGAGAAAGAUAUUGAUUUCCUGACUAUAUAGUAUACAAAUAGCUUCGACAACCAAUAACCCUGCUAGCAUGCCAGAAUACAGUAUCAUAUAAUAAUAAGUUCUGUACAAAAGAACUAAAAAAGUUGAAACAACACAAUGAACUAGGACGGUGAUUGCUACCUUAUUGUUGAGUCUGGGAGAAGAUGGCGAGUGCCAGGUGUUAUUAGUCAAUGUUUGACAGUGUACAAAACAAGAAUCUAUGAACAUGCCCCACGCCCUUUUCUUCUUCACUUCACUCAAGGCAUCAAGCAAAUCUGCCCUAAAACCUGUAAAAAGUUCUUUCACUGGUUUUAAGCUUUAAAAUUUAAUAGAUUCAAAAACAGAAAAAAGCAAAUUUUAUGGAAUAUUCCGGCAAAACAACCAACUUAAAUACAGAUAUAUACCCCUGUAAGAUCCACACUUUCAUUUAUGAUGUUGAAAGUGCAGCUCCAUAUAAAAUCACCUCAAAUAGGAGAGUCAUCCAAUUCAAGGGAUGAAGUUGAUUCUGUAUUAGAAAUUACUUUUAGCAGGAGAAUUUUGUAUUUAAGCACAUGUAAUUAAGUUUUAAGGGAUAUUUGAAUAUCCAGAUUUUGCAGGGACNUUGGAGCCCGAUCCAAAUCCCCUCUGGAGAUGGUACCCCGCCGGGCUCCCAUCUAAGCACACUGCAAAAAGCAAAACCCUAACAACUAAGGGCGAAGAUAACAACAACAAAAUUCGACAGCAACAUGAACACACGAAUCAAAUCUCACGUACACGCGCCCUUCUCUUUCGCGUUCUUUAGGAGGGUGAGAUCGACGAGAUCGGCGGAGUCCGAGGAGAAGCUCCGCGGCGCCUCAUCGUCCCGAGGCCACGAGCUGAGGGUGAGGACGAGAGCAGCGGAGACGACCACGAAGGCUCCGGCGGCGGCGGCGGCGGCGGAGAGGCGGCGCCGCCGCCACCAGAGGCGGAGUCGGUGGGCGACCAUGGCUGCGGAAUUUAGGGUUUGGGGGUGAAGUGAGAGGACGCAACGAUCGCGCCAGAGUCGAUCGGAGGAGUCUUAGAUCUGAGGAAGAAGCCGAUUGACUGUUGGAGGCGACUUUCUUCCGCCGCGGCUUUUUCGCACCAAACGGGCCAGUGCUUUUUUAGUAGAAUUCGGCGCCGUGUAACUUCGGUCACCGAGUUUCGUUUUAUUCAGUAGUCGGAUUUCAACCUGGCGUUGCUGCCGAUGCCGAUCUCUGUGCAGGUUCGCCCAAGAAGUCGACAAAAGAUAAACGUUCAUACGCCGUAUUCAAAUAAAACACCAAGGUUUUCUCACUUUAUUUAUUUAUUAUUUAGUUUAUGCUUUGGUGGGUGAUUGCUUGGUUUAUUACUUUUUUAUUUUUUUGGAAGAUGAUUCGCGUAAAAUGAGCAAUCCAAGUUUCAGUAAGAGAUAAUUACUUAUAGACCCCUCAAAACUUCUAAAAAUACUAUUUUUUAUUUCCGAAAACAACUCAAUUUUCAUUCAAACGUAAAAUUGAUCUAAUUUUUAAUUAUACAUGAAUUUAUAGUUAUCCCUGAAAUAAAAAGUGUUUACUUAUAUCCGAACCAAGAGUUCUAACAAUAAGAAAAAUGCAAAGAACUUCUUGUUACAUGUCCAUUCACAGAGUGAUGGCAUGGAGCAUCGGUAGCACGUUCUCGAAUAAUUGAGUACCUUGAAAAUUGCUAAAGAUAUUCAUAUGACAUACAAAUAAUCUCUCAUACAUUUAACUCAAAAGCAAACACAAGAUAAAUAAUGCCAGUUCGGAGCAGGCAGUGGGUGAUAAUCCGAGCUACUUUAUCCAUACUUCACUGAAUAAACUUCGAAGGAAUCAAUUCACCGAAUAAAUCUAAUCACUGAGCUUGAGAGACCAGUCUUAUAAAUUGUAGGGCUGACAAACACCAGAUUAUGACAUGUCGGAUUGCACGGAAAUGGACAGUCUAUUUCUUUUACUACUCUGCGUUCGAAAUACCAAUCUCCGACUGCCUCCGCAAUUGUCUGCUCCUCAAUAAUAUUUUUAAAAUAAAGAAGAAGAAAAAGGACACAAGUAAGCAGGAGUUAGCAAUCCAACAAAUAUGAAUAGAAAUAAAUAAUUUUAUUAUUGUGAAAAGUGGAAAAUAAAUGAAAAAAAUCAACAGUACUUACCUAUACUAAGAAAAAAGGAGAUAAGCUAGCUACCAUCAUCAGCAGAAACUUUAUAUGAAAAAAAUUCAUGCUAACAUGUUUUUGAUUUGUACGAAGGUCCUGUUAUUUUUGUUCCAUUGAUUCAUUGUAGAGGCCUUAGCAACAAGUAAUUACUCUUGCAAUUGCAAACUAAGAAAUAAGAAUAAUAGUGGUAGGACUGAGGAAACCACAAAAGAGAAUUUGUUUGAACAUUAGAAAGGAGCUUGAUCUGCUAUUAGUCUAGGGCCCUAAACAUUAUCAAAACAUAUUGGUUAUGUAAAAUGAUUCGAAUGCCAGCUAAUAUUCUCCAAUUUUCUUACAUGCAGUUGUACUGUGAAACCAGGAAGUAGUGCAAACAAUUUACCAAGGCGUUAAGCCUCAUCAUGGUAAAAAAUUCCAGUAGCAUGUGAUUUAUUAAUUACCAGCAUACCACCUUAGUCUCAAGUUUCUUUUUAUUGUAGACGUAUCAGAUUAUUCUAGAGAAAGAUCUUGAUUUCCUAACUAUAUACUAUACAAAUAGCUUCGACAACCAAUAACCCUGCUAGCAUGCCAGAAUACAGUAUCAUAUAAUAAUAAGUUCUGAACAAAAGGACUACAAAAGUUGAAACAACACAAUGAACUAGGGCGGUGAUUGCUACCUUAUCGUUGAGUCUGGGAGAAGAUGGCGAGUGCCAUGUGAUAUUAGUCGAUGUUUGACAGUGUACAAAACAAGAAUCUAUGAACAUGCCCCACUCCCUUUUCUUCUUCACUUCACUCAAGGCAUCGAGCAAAUCUUCCCUAAAACCUGUAAAAAGUUAUUUCGCCGGUUUUAAGCUUUAAAUUUAACAGAUCCAAAAAAAGAAAAAAGCAAAUUUUAUGGAAUAUUCCGGCAAAACAACCAACUUAUAUACAGAUAUAUACCCCUGUAAGAUCCACACUUUCAUGUAUGCCCUUGAAAGUGCAGUUCCGUAUAAAAUCACCUCAAAUCGGAGAGUCGUCCAAUUCAAGGGAUGAAGUUGAUUCUGUAUUAGAAAUCACUUUUAGCAGGAGAAUUUUGUAUUUAAGCACAUGUAAUUAAGUUUUAAGGGAUAUUUGAAUAUCCAGAUUUUGCAGGGAUAUAUACAUAAAUAGAUGAUUUUUUGCAGGGGGGUGCGCGCGCGCGCGUGUGUGUAUACAUAUACAUAUACAGAAAUACAAAUAUAUAUAUAUAUAUAUAUAUAUAUAUAUAUAUAUAUAUAUAUAUAUAUAUAUAUAUAUGUGUGUGCAUAAUAUAUGGAUAACACACACNAUAUAUGUACAUAUAUAUGUGUACAUAUAUAUAUGUACAUAUAUGUAUAUCCAGAUUUUUUGCAGAUUUUUUGUAUAUCCAGAUUUUUUAUAUAUCCAGAUUUUUUGCAGAUUUUUUGUAUAUCCAGAUUUUUUAUAUAUAUGUACAUAUAUAUAUGUACAUAUUUUGUAUAUCCAGUUUUAAGGGAUAUUUGAAUAUCCAGAUUUUUUGCAGGGGUGUGUGUGUGUGCGUGUGUGUAUAUAUAUAUAUAUGCAUAUGUAUAUAUGUACAUAUAUGUGUGUGCAUAAUAUAUGGAUAACACACACUAUCUUUGUGAAAAUAAACAGUUCACUCAACAUGAUAUGUUUUUAAGUUUUUACCUUGGAGAAUUUCAAUCUGGCUGGAAUUACAUUUGUUAAUAUCCAGCUUGCAACUUAGCCAUGAGUCUUGAGGGUCAGAUGCAUUUGGAGCCAAGACGUGCUGUAUCUGAAAAUAUUGGUUGAAGUGAGGAUUAGUACUCGGCAUUAUAUUUUUUUCGAUUUUCAAAAUGUGAGGUAGAACGGUAGACAAAUAUAACCUGCCAAGCAUCGUAAGCUGAAUUGAGAAUAAAAGUUGGAGUCUUCAUGUUCUUGACAAUCUCUUGAGGGAAAAAACACUGUCACGAAAUUUAACGGCCACAAUUCAGGCAAACAUAAAUUUUAUCCAAUACCAAAGCUGAUUUACCAGUUCAUCUUCUGGAAAAUCACCAUGAGAUAAAAAUAUUCAAAGACUAGCCUGGGCUGGCUCCAUCACUGAAAUGCAAUUUGGAAAUCGUUUUCCCACUUCCUGAAACAAAUUAAUUAAAGAGCGGUCAAGAAAACUGACAAAAACAAGAAGCCAACAGAAAAUUUGAAAGAGAGUGACGCAAAAUUGCUACAGACAUUCCAUCUGAAUUCCACAGAAAAUAAAUGAAUAUCUAAGAUAAUGUCAAUGUUUCAACAUAUGGCAACACAUGUAAAUACGUGUAAGGUCUUCUUUAUAAUAUUUUGCAUGCAAAAAAUAAAAAACGCGGAAAACCAUGCCAAAAGUAGGUACAGUAAUUCAUUCUUGGAGAUAAAGUAGAAGAUCAAGUUGCCCAUUUACACGCUACUACUAAUUUACUUGCUGAUAUGUUCCAUUUGCAUACACAUACGUAGGUGCAAAGUCUAAAGUUAAUAUAUAUAUUUCUGUACCAUUUAUAACAAACCAAAACAAAUAAGAACUAGAGCAUAUUCAUACCUUUUUCUGCUUUGUAUAAAUUCUCAUUUUCAUUUGCCUUUUGAAAUGUGUUAUAUUAUACACACAAAUUUCUUGAAAUGAACAGAUAAGAAUUAACCAAGAAAAUGAGAUAAAUUUCAUAUCUGCAUUACCAACCUAGAUGAAAAAAAUGUGCUUUUUUGUUGUUUGAAAAAUGGCGCAGUAUUUACUAGAAAUAAACAAGAAAACUCUUAUAAUGUUUGAAGUGGAGUAGCAAUAAAUUCUUAGGCAGCCACAGGAUGAGGGAGGGUUUGCACCUGAAGAUGGACAACAUCAUCGUAGAGAGAUCGCAUGCUCCUUUUCCCAAUAAUGUCAUUCCUGCAAAAGAUGGACCACAAAAAAAAAAAAGGACAACUGAAAGAGGUUUAAUUGAUGCUUAAACAAAUGCCAUAUGCAUGAAUUUUUAUUCAUACAAAGUUUGUGACUGGUGUUCUUUCAUAGCUAAAAAAAAAGUUCCAAGAGGAUGAAGGAUCUCCUCUUACAAACGAGCAUAAUUACCCAAAAAGGACUUAAAAGUUUAUGGUAGUGAUUUUAUGAGAUUAUGAAGCUAAGAAAGCCAAAAAAGGGCUCGCACUUAUAGAGAUUACUGGACAGAAAGUUGGACAUCAGGAUUAAUGGAUCAAGGUUGACCAAAAUCAGAGGUUGAAAAUCUAAACUGCUUCGGGAACAAAGAUGGUCAAUUUUAUAUUGUUUGUGAUUAAUCAGCACCUUAGCUCAGCCUCUAAUGUUUGUAUUUUUCUGCCUAACUAAAGGAUUAUAAGCCAAACAGCACAUUUCUACUUGAAAAAAAUGC